GGACUACUGGGGUAUCUAAUCCCGUUCGCUCCCCAUGCUUUCGUGGCUGAGCGUCAGGUACGAGCCAGGGGGCCGCCUUCGCCUCUGGGGUUCCUCCGGAUCUCUACGCAUUUCACCACUACACCCGGAAUUCCACCCCCCUCUCUCGUCCUCUAGAGUGACAGUCUGGCAUAACCCCUCCCAGUUAAGCUGGGACAUUUCAUACACCACUUGUCACCCCGCCUGCACACCCUUUACGCCCAGUAAUUCCGGAUAACGCUUGCCACCUACGUUUUACCGCGGCUGCUGGCAC
rnacentral:rRNA from 1 species